rnacentral:rRNA from 1 species
CUGCGGAAGGAUCAUAGUUAUGGAGAGGAUCGGCUCCCCUCGCCGGGACCGCCUCGUUUCCACUCUGGAUGCAAUGCGCCCUCAUCGGCGCUAGUCUUGGCCCUCCGGGGCCUCGACACACCUUUGUAAUCCUUAUCAUGCCCAACUCGAAAUACCAGAGAUCAUUACAACCAGUAGCGUUGGAUCCCUUGGCACGUCAUUCGAUGAAGACCGUUGCAAAAUGCGAUAAGUGGUGUGAUAUGCAAGUCCAAAACUUAUACGUGAACCAUCGAAUUGUUGAACGCACUGCAUCGAGCCUUACCCAGGAACGAUACGCCCCAUUGAGCGUCAUUAUGUCUUCGCGACUCGUCACUUUAGUCGGUGACCUGUCCGGGUUCGGGAUCCAUGGCCCUCGGGUCGCGUUUCCUCAGAUACAUGGUCGCGCCGGAGCCGACGGUGACCUUGUCAUGAAUGUCGAGGUGUGCCGGACCGUUUCGAGCGCAAGAUCCUCUGCCCUGCACUGGAUCAGAUGCGACCGCGCAAGCGGGAGCGACUUCUCCACAUGACCUCACGGGGGUGGGACGACCCGCUAGACUUAAGCAUAUCAAUA